rnacentral:rRNA from 1 species
GGAGGAAAGUAGGGGAUCGAAAGACCUUAUGCUUUUGGAGCGGCCGAUGUCUGAUUAGCUAGUUGGUAGGGUAAUGGCUUACCAAGGCGACGAUCAGUAGUUGGUCUGAGAGGACGACCAGCCACACUGGGACUGAGACACGGCCCAGACUCCUACGGGAGGCAGCAGUGGGGAGUUUUGGACAAUGGGCGAAAGCCUGAUCCAGCAAUGCCGCGUGAGUGAAGAAGGCCUUCGGGUUGUAAAGCUCUUUCAGUCGAGAAGAAAAGAUUGUGACUAAUAAUCAUGAUUUAUGACGGUAUCGGCAGAAGAAGCACCGGCUAACUACGUGCCAGCAGCCGCGGUAAUACGUAGGGUGCGAGCGUUAAUCGGAAUUACUGGGCGUAAAGGGUGCGCAGGCGGUUAUGUAAGUCAGAUGUGAAAUCCCCGGGCUUAACCUGGGAAUUGCGUUUGAAACUACAAAGCUAGA